UUUUCCCCUACCAGUUCAGAAAGAAUUGUGAUAAUAACUGAAUGGUAUUUUCAAGCUGUAAAUUCGUAUGACUUUAGUUGUAAUAUACUAAGCAUAUAGUAGUGACUUCAAUGUUGAAAACUGUGGGAGGUGUUAGCACUACUGCAAAACACAUUUUUUAGCGGAAUCCAGAAAUAGUCAAGAAGGCUAAAUUGGUUAUGGUAGUUUGCUUUCAGUGUGUCAAGGAUUUGGUAAUAAAUCGUGUGCUUGGUGAGACUCCCAGGAGCUGAGAAAACCUCACACAAAUUCAGAAAUUUCUAUAAUAAAAUACAUAACUUCUGUAAAUGUCUAGUGUCUAAAAACUGUUAAUACAAAAGCUGAUCUUGUAGACAUAAAUUUUUGAAGUAGCUCCUCUUCAGGAAACCUGAAUGCCAGAGGCAUCUGUAGUGAACAGUAUUUUGAAAAAGUAUGUCUGUUAUCAUAGGACCUUACUGGCAGUUCUAAGCAUUAUGUUUUGUCUGAGAAUAAGAAGAGAAUGCGUUGGAGCAAUACCUAAUCUUUCAUAAACCCAGUCUGAAGUCCAUUAUAAUAAUAACCAGAAACCUAUUUAAAUGUCUGAAAUAUCACAGCAUGGCAGAUUAAUGGAUAUUUUAGUGAUAUGGAGAACUGCAUUAUCUAUUUUAGUAGACCAGCAUGAUCUUUUCAAAAUACCAGUUGUUUUAUCUGAAGUACACAGAUACUAAUAUCAGCCCAUUUUAAAGAAAAUGGAUCAUCAUGACAUUUCAAGAGCACCAGUAAAGGUAGUUUUGAGUAUAUGUUUUCCCACUGUAGGAGUGUAAUGCAUUUUCGUUCAUGUCCAACAUGCAUUAUCCAUCCCUUUUAUCUGCAGCGACAGAGUAAAAAGCACUUAUUCCUUUAAUACUUUCAUUAAAUGUUUGCAGUGUUAUAUUUUUUUCUCUGUGGUGCAUUAAGCUAACAGUAGUUAGUAUAAUGUAGGGUUUUCAUGCAGACUGAUGUAUUAAAUUAUUGUAAUCAAGGUAUUUAGCAUUGCAAUGAUUUCUGGUAUCAUAAUUAAACCCAGAAUUAACUGCUUUUAUAUUUUUUUUACUCUCCAGCUCCCAAAUUACUUAAUACUAGUGAAAAAAUGUGAACUUAUUGAUACAACAUGAAGUAGUUGUGAUGCUGGUCUUUGGGGGGGAAAGCAUGCAGAUAUGCUUGGAAAUGCCCAGUUACUAACUUCUCUCUAGUUUCCCCCUAACAGGGAAGAGGCCAGAGAGGACUUUUUGAUAGCCAGCUGAGAAAGUUACAUCACAAAUGUUUUAGAAUGACAAAAAUAAUUCCAUGAAUUAUGACCUGUUUCUACGAGACUCUAGUGAUGCACCUUAGUGAAAACAGAUUGAAAUCAUGUUGUGCUGUCCUGGCUGGUGUUUUCAGGAUACCUAUGUUAUCAGAAUAUUUGCUAACUGUGGUUUAAUUGAAGGUUCAUUAAAAAUGUCAUCAGUCAUUGUCAUGAUGAGAUGUGCGGAUGGGCUAACAGUUCCAUUGUCUUUGUCAGUUAUUGUUUCACUGACACACUGAAUAGUAGAGAUACCAUUUUCUUUUUUUUUUAUUUUUUAAUCUUAAAACUUUUUGUGUGCACUUCAUUUCAUUCUUCACUUCUAUUUUUCUCGAGCAGCAUCAAAUUUGAUUUGAACUGGCUCAUUUGUUCAGUUGUGUUCAUGUCUCGAGAGCCAUCAGCAGUAAGUAAACACAUAAAGUAUAUAAAGUAAUACUGGAUAACAAUAAAGUAAUCCAGUAAAUAUUGGAUACCAACUAGUAUAAAGUAAUAUUGGAUAACAACUACAAGCCCUUGUAGUUCUUGUUUAAAGAAUAAUUUUUUUUUUUCCACCCAUUUUCUUAUUUUGGAUGUGUGUUUAUAACCCUUGAAACUACCACUUUGGGUUAUUCCUGGAAAUAAUGUCAUUGCAAUGUGUUUGUGGUACUGGGGAUUUAAAAUUAAUCUGGAUCAUGUCUUCUGUCUUCAGAUAACCAACCUUAAUGCCACUUCUGAACUCCACUGUGGCAUGUGGUUUUGAGAAAGACUGCAAAGGGGCAUAAAAGAACUGCAUCCUAAUUUUAUGCUUCAUUUCCUCCACGUGUUUGAAUUCGGCCUCCAGAAGUUUGUUCAGCAGAAUGUUUGGUAGAGGCAACAGAACUCUUGAGCACUAAUGAGGAAAUCAGGAAGGUCUGAUGCUGUCUGUGCAAACUUUAUAAGCAGCCUGAUGCCAUUGAGAACUCUCCUGACAGUACGUAGAUUGUCCUCUGAGGGUGUCUGUCUUCUCUGAGCAGAGAGGGAUUCUUGAUAACCUACUGAAACAAUACGCUUUCUUAAAUGGAAAAUCAAGCAUGAUCCAUCCUGCUUCCAAAUUCUGUGUUUGAAUGCAUGAUGUUACAUAAGAGAGGACUUGUAAAAUAUGAGGAGAUACCUGUAGGAAAACAGCAUUAAUUUAAAUAUAAUUUCCAUAUCACUGGCAGAUUUAGACUUGCUAAUGUUGCAUGAAGCACAAGAUGUUAAAAAAAUGUAUAGGAAAAAUGUUUUUAUUCUGUCUGUGGGAAGGGGGGUAUUCUUUUUUUUUAUAUUCAAAGUUCUUUGUGAAGGGUCAGCUGUGUUGUUUCUGUUUUAUAGUCAGCAAUAUUGCCAGUCUUUGCUGAAAAAUACCAUUUACAAUAAAAAGGAGUCAUAAGGGGUGUAGUUGCACUUGAGAGAAAUGAGAGUCUGCUUUUAGUGUCUUAUCUACUGAUGAACAUCACUUGUUGCUUUCAACUUUAUUCUAUAAAUUAACUCUACUCGUUUAACUUAGUUGCACCAAUAAAUUCAAUCAACUGAAAGGGCUGUAUUUAUGGAAAUAUGUUUGACUUCAUUGUUUAUCUCAUGUAAUUUGAUUUAUAUUUAAAAAAAUCAUGUUGCACAAACAGCAGUAUGAUUUUAUUGUAAUUUAGGUUUCUUUCCAGUGAAACUGUGGAGAACAGGUUUGAAACUGUGAACUGCUACACGAGAAUAACACCAUGAAACCAACAGCUGGGAAGUUUGUGUCAGACCUCAUAGUGAGCCCACAGUCUGUGUCUUUAAAGUAUUAAUUUUGAAUCCAGUGCCUUCAGUAUUACUACCUUUGGGUUUAAUGAGGAAAACACUACACUAAGUUAGUUUAGAUAUCUGUAGCUCCUGUUUUUCCUUUAUUCUCUUUGUAUUUCUUACGGUUGUUUCCCCAUUGAGUCUGGUUUAAGUUCCCAGCUGGGUAUUUUUGCUUCAAACUUUUCCCUAGCAACUUUCAGAAAUCUGCAAGGUUUGUGAAGAAAACAGAAGGGGAAUUUGUGGGUUUAUUUUCUGCAGUGUGUUUUUCCAAGAAGAGUUUGAAAAUGUUGAUCCUUUUUUUCAAUGGAAAAAAUACUUGAUCAUUGUAGGAAGGUGACAGUGUCUCAGUCACUGUGAAUACAACAGCAUUAUAUGGUAUUCUUUUAC